rnacentral:rRNA from 1 species
UGGCCUGUAUUCAACUGCAUUGUUGUGAGCAGUUGGGCGCUGCAUCUCCAGAUUGGGACAGUCCURACUUGCAAGCAACAAUGUUGUGCAUUUGCAGGUCGAGUGCGCCGAGACUUUCGAGAAGGCGAUAUGAGCUCAAUUUUGAGGCCAGCUUGCUGGUACCCGGAUUGGAGGAAUGUUGUUCGUUUUGGAUGUGAAUGGGGGAAAGGUUUUCGGGCUCGUAUGGGUUCGAAUUGGUGUGGGGUGGCAGUUGCAUGCAACAUGUGCCUUCUGCCAAUUCGGUCCUGUGCGAGCUCACAAUCCCACUCUCGGCGUAAAAGUUGGUCAUCUAUCCGACCCGUCUUGAAACACGGACCAAGGAGUUUAUCGUGUGCGCAAGUCAUUGGGUGUUGAAAACUCAAAGGCGCAAUGAAAGUAAAGAAUCCGCAAGGAUACGACGUGUGAUCUGAGCAAUCACGAUUGCCUGGAGCAACAUGGCCCCAUUCUGGUCGCUUGCGACGGGGUGGAGGAAGAG